rnacentral:rRNA from 1 species
UAGGGAAUCUUCCACAAUGGACGAAAGUCUGAUGGAGCAAUGCCGCGUGAGUGAUGAAGGAUUUCGGUUCGUAAAACUCUGUUGCGAGGGAAGAACAAGUGUAAAGUAACUACUUACACCUUGACGGUACCUCGUUAGAAAGCCACGGCUAACUACGUGCCAGCAGCCGCGGUAAUACGUAGGUGGCAAGCGUUGUCCGGAAUUAUUGGGCGUAAAGCGCACGCAGGCGGCCUUCUAAGUCUGAUGUGAAAUCCCACGGCUUAACCGUGGAAGGUCAUUGGAAACUGGAAGGCUUGAGGAUAGAAGAGGAAAGUGGAAUUCCACGUGUAGCGGUGAAAUGCGUAGAGAUGUGGAGGAACACCAGUGGCGAAGGCGACUUUCUGGUCUAUUACUGACGCUG